GCCUCCGUAGCUUAANAUAAAGCACUG
rnacentral:tRNA from 1 species